UCCCAACUUAGCCCAAAUCAGCCCAAAUUUAGCCACAAUUUAGCCACAAUUUUUCCCAUUUUUUCCCAUUUUUUUCCCAUUUUUUUCCAAUUUUUUUCCCAUUUUUUUUCUAUUUUUUUCCCAUUUUUUUCCCAUUUUUAUCCCAUUUUUUCCUUAAUUUUUCCCCAAUUUUUCCCCAUUUUUUUCCCAAUUUUUCCCAAUUUUUCCCCAAUUUUUCCCCAUUUUUUUCCUAUUUUUCCCCAUUUUUUCCCAUUUUUUUCACAUUUUUAUCCCAUUUUUUCCCAUUUUUUCCCCAAUUUUUCCCCAAUUUUUCCCCAAUUUUUCCCCAAUUUUCCCCAAUUUUUCCCCAAUUUUUCCCCAUUUUUUCCCCAAUUUUUUCCCCAAUUUUCCCCCAAUUUUUCCCCAUUUUUCCCCCAAUUUUUCCCAAUUUUUCCCCAAUUUUUCCCCAAUUUUCCCCCAAUUUUUCCCCAAUUUUUCCCCAAUUUUUCCCCAUUUUUUCCCCAUUUUUUCCCCAUUUUUUUCCCAUUUUUUCCCCAUUUUUUUCCCAUUUUUCCCCCAAUUUUUUCCCCAUUUUUCCCCAUUUUUCCCCCAUUUUUCCCCAUUUUUCCCCAUUUUUUCUCCAUUUUUUCCCCAAUUUCCCCCAAUUUUCCCUCCCAUUUUAUUCCAAUUUUUCCCCCAUUUUUCCCCCUUUUUCCCCCAAUUUUUCCCCAUUUUUCCCUCAUUUUUCCCCAUUUUUUCCCCAUUUUUUCCCAUUUUUCCCUCAUUUUUUCCCCAAUUUUUUCCCAUUUUUUCCUCAAUUUUCCUCCCAUUUUAUUCCAAUUUUUCCCAAUUUUUUCCUCUUUUUCCCUCAAUUUUCCCCCAUUUUUACCCCAUUUUUUCCCCAUUUUUUCCCCAUUUUUCCUCCAAUUUUCCCCCAAUUUUUCCCCAUUUUUUCCCAUUUUUUCCCCAUUUUCCCCCCAUUUUUCCCCAUUUUUCCCCCAUUUUUUCUCCAUUUUUCCCCAUUUUUUUCCCCAUUUCCCCUCCCAUUUUAUUCCAAUUUUUUCCCCAUUUUUCCCCAUUUUUUUCCCAUUUUUAUCCCAUUUUUUUCCCAAUUUUUCCCAUUUUUUUCCCAAUUUUUCCCCCAAUUUUUCCCCAAUUUUCCCCCAAUUUUUCCCCAUUUUUCCCCAUUUUUUCCCCAAUUUUUCCCCAAUUUUUCCCCAAUUUUUUCCCAUUUUUUCCCCAAUUUUUCCCCAAUUUUUUCCCUUUUUUUCCCAUUUUUUCCCCAAUUUUUCCCCAAUUUUUCCCCAAUUUUUCCCCAAUUUUUCCCCAUUUUUUCCCCAUUUUUUCCCCAAUUUUUCCCCAUUUUUUCCCCAAUUUUCCCCCAAUUUUUCCCCAAUUUUUCCCCAUUUUUCCCCAUUUUUUCCCCAAUUUUUCCCCAUUUUUCCCAACCCCGAGGAAAUUCCCAGCAGGACCAUCCCGACCGCCUGCGUCCGUCCCACCCAUCCCCUGCGCAGCUUCGCCAAUGCCGUGGAUCCCAACGUCCCCUACCCGCCCCUGCUGGCCCAAGGUAACAUCCCAUAA
ensembl:lncRNA